UUUGAGAGCCGCCGUCAAAGGUUCUGGCUUCCGCAGUUCCACAUCCCCGCCGCCUGGGCAUGGUCGGGAUUCUCACUGGGUCAUUGUGGACAGUUUGGGGAUAAUUAGGGACAUGAUGGAUUUGAUGAAAUCAACAGGAACAUAAUCGCCUUUCUGUUUUCCCAGAGUCUGAGCCAAGAGUGUAAAUAUGGCCUGCGCUGGCCCAGCAGAGAGACUUGAACCGAGCCUUCUAGCGACAAAAGAAAAUGUGCUUUUUGAGUGAUGAUCUGUCCAAAUCUGCUGACGAGGGCAUACACGUUAUGCACACCAAAAAAGGGUAAGAACGCCAAGGGUUGUCUCCAACAGCUCGAACCAGCCCUGCGCUUGCAAGUGUGAGAGAAGGCGCAGCCUGCCAGCCCCCACCCUUCCUGGGGACCAUGCAGGCUUUGCGUUCAUUGUUCCUUCCCACACUGAGCCCCUGAUCUUCGCGGUUGGCACCCCAAGUUGUGGAAGAGGCGGGUGAGCUCAGAGAGGUCAAGGAACUGGCUCAAGGCCCCACAUGGCAAGGGGCAGGCCAAGAUCAAUCUCGGGUUUCUCUGGCUCAAAAGCCCAGGGAGGCAGAUCCUGGCUUCUGCAGCUUCUCUGAGCAAGCUGCAUGAACAUGGUGCUAACAGCCUGGGGAUAAAGAAGCCCCAGUCACAUGCUUCUCUCGAAAUGAAUGAGCUCAGAGCCCUUGUCUGUAAUUCUGCAAGAUCAUUGCAAGGUUGGCAAAAUCCCAUCCCUGUGCAAACCGGAUUUCCCCCCAAAUCCCAAUGAGCUUCCCCUGGGGCCUGAUCCUCUGAGGGGUGGGCACGCUCACCAUCACCAAGCCUCAUGUUGCUCCUGCUCCCCACCUGCGGCUCAGGCACCUGCUGAGGUUCCAGCCCACAGGGACCCCAACACUUUUGAGAGCCUGGAGGGGACAUCUCGGGGGCACGUCCCCUUCCGCCAGGCUCUGCUAACGCUCACCCCCCACAUCCACUUGGCUCUGUGUCCCCAGGUUAGUUCCACCUUGUCCAACAAAUGUCACCACCUGAGUCCUGGGUCCUCGGGGGAUGCCCACUCAGAGGGUGCUCCAUGGUAAGAUUUGGAGCUGGGGGGUGACAGCCUUGCUCCUGCCGGGGGCUACACAUUUAGAGGGUCCCCUGCUAUGCUGUCCAGACUCCAUGGACACGGGGUGAAGCGGUGCUGUUGUUCUUUCUAGAAGCCGUCGUCUCUAGGGAAGCACAUGUGGAUCCGUCCAGGGGAUGGAUUUGAGCCCUGGGUAACUCUCUUCUAGACACCCCGGCUUUGUCACAAGGUCAUUUUCUUCCAAAUGCCAUAUGUGUCUAAGCAAAUAGUGGAUUCUAGAAUAGAAUCCUUGGCAGGCUCCUUAGCUGCCCAGACAGUGACCCUGGGACCUUCCUCCACCAUUAGCUAUGUGUGCCCCGAGAGGUCUGCCCAUCAGCCAGGGAUGCUCUGUGGGUCCACCACAGGGAUCCUUCUGCAUGUGUGGGACAGUUCGUAGGGUGUCCUUGUUCAUGUGAAGCAUAAAAUAAGAGCAUCCUUAUUAAGCAGAAAGAAGAGCAGGAGUUCCCGUUGUGGCUCAGUGGGUUAAGGACCUAGAACGNGCUCAGUGGGUUAAGGACCUAGAGUUGCCACAAGCUCCAAUGCAAGUUACAGACACGCCUUGGAUCCUGCAUUUCUGUGGCUAUGGUGUAGGCCAGCAGCUGCAGCUCCGAUUCAACUCCUAGACUGGGAACUUCCAUAUGCUGCAGGAGUGGCCCUAAAAAGAAAAAGAAAAAAAAAAAAA
rnacentral:lncRNA from 1 species